GUGCACGCUGGCGGUAGGCCUAACACAUGCACGUCGAACGGCAGCACAGUAAGAGCUUGCUCUUACGGGUGGCGAGUGGCGGACGGGUGAGGAAUACAUCGGAAUCUACUUUUUCGUGGGGGAUAACGUAGGGAAACUUACGCUAAUACCGCAUACGACCUACGGGUGAAAGCAGGGGAUCUUCGGACCUUGCGCGAUUGAAUGAGCCGAUGUCGGAUUAGCUAGUUGGCGGGGUAAAGGCCCACAAGGCGACGAUCCGUAGCUGGUCUGAGAGGAUGAUCAGCCACACUGGAACUGAGACACGGUCCAGACUCCUACGGGAGGCAGCAGUGGGGAAUAUUGGACAAUGGGCGCAAGCCUGAUCCAGCCAUACCGCGUGGGUGAAGAAGGCCUUCGGGUUGUAAAGCCCUUUUGUUGGGAAAGAAAAGCAGCAGGUUAAUACCCCGCUGUUCUGACGGUACCCAAAGAAUAAGCACCGGCUAACUUCGUG
rnacentral:rRNA from 1 species